CCUACGGGAGGCUGCAGUGGGGAAUAUUGCACAAUGGGGGGAACCCUGAUGCAGCAACGCCGCGUGGAUGAAGAAGUACUUCGGUAUGUAAAGCCCUGUCAGCAGGGACGAAAAUGACGGUACCUGACCAAGAAGCCCCGGCUAACUACGUGCCAACAGCCGCGGUAAUACGUAGGGGGCAAGCGUUAUCCGGAUUUACUGGGUGUAAAGGGAGCGUAGACGGCAAGGCAAGUCUGGAGUGAAAGCCCGUGGCUCAACCACGGGACUGCUUUGGAAACUGUGUUGCUGGAGUGCAGGAGGGGUAAGCGGAAUUCCUAGUGUAGCGGUGAAAUGCGUAGAUAUUAGGAGGAACACCGGUGGCGAAGGCGGCUUACUGGACCGCGACUGACGUUGAGGCUCGAAAGCGUGGGGAGCGAACAGGAUUAGAUACCCUUGUAGUC
rnacentral:rRNA from 1 species